rnacentral:lncRNA from 1 species
UGGUUCUUCAUCUAUAUAGUCAUCUUUCUCUGUACUUUUCCCCUUUUUCUUUCCUUUGAUUUCCUCCCUAUUUUCUUUCUCUGUUUCACUAUCUACCUUAUGCUCUAGCUUGCAUGUGGGCAGAUCAACCUCUUUACCACUCCUCAGAGUGAUCACUUCUUCAAUUUCCUUCACCAUUGAAGAUUCUCCCUCUUGAGCCUCCAUUUCAUGGAUACUCAUGGAAUUUUGAUAAGGUUGAG